AGUCAUUACUAUAGGUGAAAUAGAUCAACCUGGGGAAGUUCUCAACUUGUCAAAUGAUCUCGGAGACUAUAGCAAGGUUGAACUGAAGAUCUGCUUAACUGAUUCCCUGGCUUAGUUCCAGCAUGUGCAAUGAUGCAGUUCUGAAGUGCCAAGUGCUUAAUCAUUAAGCUUGCUCUGGGACAAAAACAUUUUACAAGUUCCACUACACAAGUAUGUUGUUGAAUUCUCUUUGAAUGCAAGGCUUUUCAAGUUAAGAAGGCCCUUGCAAGACACCAGUACCUUGAUAUUUGACUUCCAGUCUCCAGAACUUGGAACCUGAACAGUCUGCUGAAGCACCUGAUGUUUGGCCUUCCUGAAUGUCAUGUAAUACGUACUUCACCAUCAAUUCAUACAGCAGAUAUCAUCAUACACAGUCCAGGUAUGAAGAUCUGGGCUCAGAGAGACUAAGUAAGUGAAUUGCCUGAAGACACAUUGUUGAGCUCUGUGUCUUCUUGACUAACACAUGAGGCCACCUCCUGGGGCUGUUUGAACUGUUUCUGCUGAUAGGGGAGGGCAUUUCUCCAGCCCUGCUUCUAGACUCCCUCUUAAUCUUCAGAUGGCCUCUCACCCAGUUGCAUGUUGAGUUAUCCUUUCAAAAGUGUACAUGCUUUCUCUGUGGAAGCUGUGGCAAAUUUCCAGACUUGGCAUCAGGUGGCUUUUGAUGAUUCUCAAAGAUAAUAUUCAUCUAACAUGAAUACAUUUUACUGCUCCUGGGGACACCUAUAAGAAUGCCCCACUGUGGCCGGGCACAGUGUCACGCCUAUAAUUCCAGCACUUUGAGAGGCCAAGGGGGGCAGAUCACCUGAAGUCGGAAGUGUGAGACCAGCCUGACCAGCGUGGAGAAACCCCAUCUCUACUAAAAAUACAAAAUCAGCCGGGCAUGGUGGCGCAUGCCUGUAAUCACAGCUACUCAGGAGGCUGAGGCAGGAGAAUUGCUUGAACCCGGGAGGCGGAGGUUGUGGUAAGCUGAGAUUGCAACAUUGCACUUCAGCCUGGACAACAAGAGCAAAACUCCGUCUCGAAACAACAACAACAACAACAGCAACAACAACAAAAUGCCCCACUGCCUAAAAAUAUAUCCUAAACACGAAGUUCAAAAAUGUUUUAAUCAAUGAAAGCAAAAAUAAAAUGUGUGUGGAGCUUCCCAAAGGUAAAA